rnacentral:misc_RNA from 1 species
GAUGAAGAACGUAGCGAAAUGCGAUACUUGGUGUGAAUUGCAGAAUCCCGUGAACCAUCGAGUCUUUGAACGCAAGUUGCGCCCGAAGCCACUAGGCCGAGGGCACGCCUGCCUGGGCGUCACACGCCGUUGCCCCCCCAUCUACUCCUUCGGGAUUGCGGGGGGGGCGGAUGAUGGCCUCCUGUGCGCCUAGCCGUGCGGUUGGCAUAAAUACCAAGUCCUCGGCGACGCACGCCACGACAAUCGGUGGUUGCGAAACCUCGGUUGCCCGUCGUGUGCGUUCGUCGCGCAUCGAGGGCUCGAAAAAAUGCUCGGCUCCGGCUGGGCUUUCAACGCGACCCCAGGUCAGGCGGGGUUACCCGCUGAAUUUAAGCAUAUCAAUAAGCGGAGGA